CCCUCGCGUGCUCCCGGGUCCGACGGUGCAGCGCCCUUCUGCAGCCCGGAGCCGCAGGGGUGGUUUUCCCCCGUUAAGGAGCGGUGCAGAAAGGCUCAGAGCUGCAGUGGGAAUUGUGUGCGUGCCCACGAGGGCUCGUAAUUAGCGCUAGGGAUUACUGUGAAAUAAGGGAGCGGGAAGCUCCCAUCUGCUGCCCCGGUACCGGGGCACAGCCUCCCGCAUUCCAAGCCCUUCCGUUUGGCACCGCCGCUCUCAGAACGGCCCCAGCUGGCUGCAGCUGCAGCACAACAGCCCAGCACUACAUCACUCUCCCGAGGGCCCCAGCGUUGCUGUGCCAGGAACACACUUUGACCCCCUCCCACCUAUUCUAAUCCCCAACGGAUUUUGCCACCAGCUCCCAGUACGGCUGGGACACGAGCUGCAGCAGCAUGAAUGAACCCAUGGUCGACUCAGGCAAAGCCAGUGAUGUCUCGGUGUCCAGCUGGCCUGUGGAGCCCAACCCCUGGGUGCCCUUCUCCCUCCUGCAGCAGCACUCCAGGCAGCAACCGCAGCCAGGCAGGCGGCCACGCUCCUUCUGCGAGGGGCUGGAGCUGUGUACGCUGGAGCGGAGCUGGACGGCCUGAGCGCUACAGACUGAACCGUGGCACCAAGCAUCAGCUUUAAAACCAACCACAUUUUAUUUCCACGUAACAAGCUCAGUGAAAGAAGUCCAAACACUUUGACAAUACAAUCAACGCGGGCGUGAUGUCAGUUCCACUCGAUGCGGAGUCCUGAAAGAUUAUCAGGCAACGGUUUCACGGGGGUCAGAGCAGACUUGGGAAGCCAGCUUGGGCUGGGACAGCGUGGUUCGUAGCGAUAGGUACAGAAGUGUCCAAUAACACACAAUGCUGGCAUCCAACAGAGUUAAUGACUUACAUCCGGCAAUUUGAAAAUAAAGGCUAACAGAUUGUUGAAGUCACAUCAUACUAUGUACAUACAUGGUCUGCCCUAUAGCCAUUUCAGAACAAGCUAAGCCACUGUGAAGUGAAAUACAAAUUAAGCGCUGCUGCAUUGUUUGUCAUGAUUAAUGUAAAUGAGGUAUAAAUUUAAACACCAGUACGUUUUAAGCAUUAAAGUUUAUUUUCCAAAAU